rnacentral:rRNA from 1 species
GAUGAACGCUGGCGGCGUGCCUAAUACAUGCAAGUCGAGCGAACAGACGAGGAGCUUGCUCCUCUGACGUUAGCGGCGGACGGGUGAGUAACACGUGGAUAACCUACCUAUAAGACUGGGAUAACUUCGGGAAACCGGAGCUAAUACCGGAUAAUAUAUUGAACCGCAUUGUUCAAUAGUGAAAGACGGUUUUGCUGUCACUUAUAGAUGGAUCCGCGCCGCAUUAGCUAGUUGGUAAGGUAACGGCUUACCAAGGCGACGAUGCGUAGCCGACCUGAGAGGGUGAUCGGCCACACUGGAACUGAGACACGGUCCAGACUCCUACGGGAGGCAGCAGUAGGGAAUCUUCCGCAAUGGGCGAAAGCCUGACGGAGCAACGCCGCGUGAGUGAUGAAGGUCUUCGGAUCGUAAAACUCUGUUAUUAGGGAGGAACAAAUGUGUAAGUAACUAUGCACGUCUUGACGGUACCUAAUCAGAAAGCCACGGCUAACUACGUG